UACGAAGGGGGCUAGCGUUGCUCGGAAUCACUGGGCGUAAAGCGCACGUAGGCGGAUUGUUAAGUCAGGGGUGAAAUCCUGGAGCUCAACUCCAGAACUGCCUUUGAUACUGACGGUCUUGAGUUCGGGAGAGGUGAGUGGAACUGCGAGUGUAGAGGUGAAAUUCGUAGAUAUUCGCAAGAACACCAGUGGCGAAGGCGGCUCACUGGCCCGAUACUGACGCUGAGGUGCGAAAGCGUGGGGAGCAACAGG
rnacentral:rRNA from 1 species